GCCGUACAUUGACAGAUUAGUGUCGAUCGUAAGGCUGGGGAAGCAGGUGAGAAUCCUGCACAAUACCCGUUGCUGUAUUGGAGGAGCGGUAUUCCAUUAAGAAUUGUCACAGGUUGGAUCUCCUGGGGCGGUUCUUAGGUCACUGUAGGGAUCGUCCUAUGGGAAGGCGGAAUGUCCGUGAAGAUACCUAAGUCAGAACACCCGCUUUUAGACGGCGCUUUGG
rnacentral:ncRNA from 2 species